CUGUUUACAGCUGAGAAGAUGGUAUCCAACGGGAAGGAGUACCACAGGGCCUGCCACAGAUGUGAACGCUGCAAGAAGACGCUUGCUGCUGGCAAUGGGAACGAGCAUGCCGGCAAAUUAUAUUGUGCUAACCCCUGUUAUGCAGCGCUGUUCGGACCAGGAGGUGUCAGGAGUGGAUCUGGAACGGCUGGCAGCGCUCAGUACGACUGAGAGAUAUCAAUACUAACAUUACUUCACACUUUACCCAAUAGUAAAGUCUGUCGUGUAGCUAACUCUACAUCCAAUGCAUAUUAGAAUUUACAGACUUAUACUUUACAUUAUAUUUUUACCCCCAGAAAAUCUUUACAAUAACGACAGCAAUAUCACGAUGCAAUUACAUGUUUGUGGCGUCCUUGUCGGUAAAAGAGAAAGUUUAGGUCUUAAAGACUGUUAUAUAUUAUUCGCUACUGUCACGUUUUAAUUGUUACAAAUUAAAUCAUGUUUGUGUACAAUGACCUGACAUACGUUAUGUUUCCAUGUUUAAAUUUUCAAAUUAUAUAUUUCUUUGUUUGAAAGAGACAUUUGUCAGAAUAAAGCUAAUAUUCUCAUCGAA